CGGUUGAUCCUGCCGGAGGUUACUGCUAUCGGAGUUCGAUUAAGCCAUGCGAGUCUAAAGGUUUCUUCGGAAACCUUGGCGAACUGCUCAGUAACACGUGGAUAACCUACCCUUGGGACUGGAAUAACCCCGGGAAACUGGGGAUAAUACCGGAUAGAUCAGGGAUGCUGGAAUGCACCUUGAUCCAAAGCUCCGGCGCCCAAGGAUGGGUCUGCGGCCUAUCAGGUAGUAGUGGGUGUAAUGUACCUACUAGCCAACGACGGGUACGGGUUGUGAGAGCAAGAGCCCGGAGAUGGAUUCUGAGACACGAAUCCAGGCCCUACGGGGUGCAGCAGGCGCGAAACCUUUACAAUGUGCGAAAGCAUGAUAAGGGAACUCCGAGUGCCAGCAUCUAAUGUUGGCUGUCCUUGUGCCUAAAACGCACAAGAUAGCAAGGGCCGGGUAAGACCGGUGCCAGCCGCCGCGGUAACACCGGCGGCCCGAGUGGUAGCCGCUAUUAUUGGGUCUAAAGGGUCCGUAGCCGGUUCGAUAAGUCCUCUGGGAAAUCUGGUUGCUUAACAAUCAGACUGCCAAGGGAUACUGUCGAACUUGAGACCGGGAGAGGUAAGAGGUACUUCAGGGGUAGGAGUGAAAUCUUGUAAUCCCUGGGGGACCAUCUGUGGCGAAGGCGUCUUACCAGAACGGGUCUGACGGUGAGGGACGAAAGCUGGGGGGCGCAAACCGGAUUAGAUACCCGGGUAGUCCCAGCCGUAAACGAUGCUCGCUAUGUGUC
rnacentral:rRNA from 1 species